rnacentral:sRNA from 1 species
ACCGUCACAUUGAUACCGUAAGACAGCAGCUCAUCGAUCUGGAACAGGGCACACAGACAGUUAAUCAAACAUGGACCAUUAAUUUCAUCAGGAAUUUUACAAGUUAAAGACGCAUUCAUUAAUACUUAGUAGAUCACCUCGUUGAUUCUUGGCUUCAUGAAAUCGUUGACCAGCGCAUUGUAGACCGGAUCCGACAGUUCCUGCCACCUGCAGUUCAGUUGAAAUUGCAGCGUUUUCUCAAGGAUGAGGAGGAUGAUUUGGACACGAAAGAAAUGGACACCCACUUGAGGUUGUUGGGGAUGAUCUUGAGCUUUUCCUUGAUGACACCGUUCAUGAUGCCCUCGAUCGUGUUGGAGCCUGAAUCGGCCGCUUGGCUGCUAAGGUAUGUUGAGUACUUCAUCAACUGAGCACUGCUUGACGACGGCGAUGAGGAGCUCGCCGCCGGUAAGUCUGCCGACACCGGGUCCAUGCCGGAGUCAAGCAAGAAAUUGUACAUGUCCUGCAAAUAAGGGUUUGUUUAGUUAACGUUAAAAUUAGAAAUUUGAUUGAAAUUGAAACGAUUGCUACGCGUGGCGUGCAGUGGCGAACACUUACGACGCUGGCGCUCUUUUUGUCGAUGAAACCCAGCAGGUCGAUCCACGACUGCUGCGAGUCCGCAAGCUGCCCCGCCGUGAUCUGCUCCUUCACCGUCGCCGCCAUCCUGACAU